ensembl:snRNA U6 U6 spliceosomal RNA
AUGCUCACUUCAGCAGCACAUAUACUAAAAUUGGAAUGAUACAGGGAAGAUUAGUAUGGUCCUUAAAAAAAGUGAAAUUUUUUAGGACAAAUAGAACUGGUUUUA